rnacentral:miRNA from 1 species
AUAUAUUCAUUUUGACAAAC